UAACUAUAUAGAUUUAAGAUUAUUGAUGAUGUUCAAGUAUCCUCUCAAUAUUAUUUAUGUCUAAAUGAUAUUGUGAUAAUCACUAUAUUGAUCCUUAGACGAUCUCUCCACCUAACUAUCAAUAUAGCAAUCUUUAAUGAUUGAUACCAAAGAAGAAUAAUGAAUAAAUCUAUCUCUACAACUUAUUCACUACUUGAAAAUCUAUUUUAGGUCAAGACUCAAAUAAUCUCUUUCAACAACUACUCAAAUCUGAUUUUCAACUUAGGG
rnacentral:lncRNA from 1 species